rnacentral:lncRNA from 1 species
CUCCCAGAAGAAAUACAAUGUGAAGACACACAGGGAGAAGAUGGCCUUGUGACCAGGGAGAUGCAUCUACAGACCAACAAAUGCCAAGGAUUGCCAGAGAACAGAAAAAGCUGGAAGAAUCAAGGAAGGAUUCUCCCCUGGAGCCAUCAGAGAGAGCAUGCCCUGAUAUCACCUUGAUUCUUCACUUCUACCUUUCAGAAUUAAGGAAGCCAGCUGCCAUGCUUUGAGCUGCUCUAUGGAAAGGCACAUUUGGCAAGGAACUGAUGCCUCCAGUCAACAGCCAGCCAGGACUUGAGACCAGAUAAAGCCUGGAAGCUGCACGUCACCUGCCAGCUUUGUGUGUGCCCAGUGAGUGCAGGUGGCAUAAUGACCAGCGGUGACUUGAAUGACAAGGGGACAGAACAGCUGGACAAUCCAAUUCCUAGAUGCUUUCUCCAGUUAUGGCCCUGACUGGGAUCUCCGAAGAAUGACUCAGCUGAAACUGUCAGUGAGGAUGCUUACCUGUGGUCUCCCCAUCAUGGUGGUAUCAGGGUUGUUGAACACCUUACAUGGCUCCAAAAGCAAGUGUUCUGGAAUGUAAGGCAACAGCUGUGUGGUCUUUCAUAAUCCAGCAUCAGAAGUCACAUGGCAUCACUCCUGCUAAAAUUUCUUUGUGGAAGCAGCCACAAAACUGCCCAAAUUCAAGUAGAGGGCACACAGAUCUUAUUUUUUGAUGGGAGGACUCACAAAAAUUUUGCCACCAUAUUAUAAAAACACUAUAAGAUCUAAUAGUAACUUUAACUUUUUUUAACCAAUCCUUCUAUUUUCAGCCCAGACUUCACUUCCUUAUUCAGAUGUAUAAAUGUCUUCUGUGGCUUUGUGAUCAAAUCUGAAUGUUUCUUGGAUUUACCCCUGCCAGCUAAGGAUUUGGCCUUCUUUGAUCUGUUAAAUCAGUUCUCAAACACUGACUUGUUUUCCAUCUAAAAUAUCAGGGUGACCUUUAUCCCAUUCUCAUUGCUUUGAGGAUUUUGUGCCCCCUUUUUUAAAGUCACUUUCUAUGUAUUUUUAUAUGAGUGAGGUUUUGGGAGAAAGUACAGAUAAAUAUAUAUUCUCAAUCUACCACUUUAAUUGAAAAUUCUUGUUUUUUCUUUUACAAAAUUCCUAAUGUUUGCCUAACAAACAUUUAUUGAGAAACUGCUGUAUUUUCAGUAUGUGUUAAGGUCUGUGUACAUCUAUUUUAUAUACAUUAUCUUAUUUAAUAUGCUCAUUUAAUUUCCACAUCUUGUUUAACAUUUAUAAUCUUUUGAUUUGUUAAAUACAAUUUGUAGAAGACCAUUGGUUUAGCGUGAGCUGCACCAGGCCUGGCAGACCAAACCAAAAUGUAGUAUCUCAUACUAAAGUUCCAUGCCACCAAGCUGAAACUAAGUUGUUUAUCUGACUUUCCAAGAAGUCAGGAGAAAGAGAUAACAGUCAAAUCCCCAAAUAUGCUAGUUUGAGUUGGCAUGAUAGGAAAGUUCCUUCCACUUUAGCCUUUAUACGAAAGUAACUUUGGAAUGAUCAGUCUGCUUUUUGUUUCCUGUUUCUGUUUCAGCACUUUUUGUAAAGCCAACUUCUUCUCAGCACAUCAGAACACUCAUUCUACUUUAUAGAAUGAGGUAUAAUCUGAAUCUAAAAUCACAAAUAAAAGCCAAUUAAGAUUUUUAAAGUAAGUUUGUUGUAAUUUUGUCUUUUGACAGAUUUCAUCAUUGCCUACAUUUGUCUUCAGACGACCUGCAGUACAAACUUGGCUUAAACCUGCAGUUGACAAUGGUAACAGGAAUCUUAUUUUAAAAAAUAAUAUGCGCCACCAGCUAAGUUGGUCAUGAUGAGGUCUGGGCCUUGAUAGCCUUCUGGGUUUUAAUUCACACAAUAUGUUUGAAAAAAGAAAAAUCAAAGUAACUGUAAUUUUUUUGUAAAGCAAAAUACUUUUUAAAAGCCAUGAGGCACGUGUUACUCAAAGGGCUCCUUGGAUGAAUUAUUUUGUAAGGCAAAUGAUUUGUUAUAGUUCCAAUGACAUCUAAAUUUGCCAGUUGUAAAUACUGGAAUUUUUGGUCCUUGCAUUGAACUUACUGGUAUUGAUGUGCUAUAUAACUAAAUGUCUUCUAAAAGGAUUCACCGUGGGAGAAUAAAUUACAAUGGAUAAAAAACAGCAUUACAAUCCCUCAAUAAAAUGGGAUUUUAACAGACAAAGGUGAGUCAGUGGUGAAAGGCAGGAGAAGAUACAACAGGUAAGUGUCUGACUUCAGGCUGGAGCCCUAAUAUAAUAAUAAGUCCUUCUUGUAUUGUAAUCUCUUACAGCUGAAUCUCCAUGUGCUCUCUCUCUCUUCUAACAUCAAUGCAGCUCCUGGUAUGUGGUCGUUCUCAGGCCCAAAGGCCCAUUUUGCUUUUGGCUGCAACUCUGUAACUCUGUAACAGAGACCAAGUGCCUGCAGGGAGCAGAUGUUUGGGGCAGUAUCUGCUAAGGUGGCUUUGCUGAAACUUGUUUCUCUCAUUGGGUCUUGGAAGUGGCGAAUAGGACGUUCCUAUAGAAAAACUCAGAAAGAUAAUGAAGCUGCUAUUUGCAAGAACUGCAUCUGUCUGACUCUCAGACAGAUCUACACCAGUGUUUAGCAGACAUGCCAAAUGAUAAGAGUCAAUCACAGCCUCUGUAGAAAAUACUGGAACCCUGAUGUGGACUUACUGAAUCAGAAUCUCCAGGCAAUAAGCUUGAGAUUCUCUGGUUUGUAAAGCCAACCAAGUGAU